rnacentral:rRNA from 1 species
UGACUGUACUGCAUCUCGCUGUAGUACUCGCUAGAGUUUGACUUUGAUUUAGCGUCCCUCGGGGUGAAUCGACGGGGGGGAGCGGCGGACGGGUGAGUAACACGUGGGUAACAGCCUGAAAGUUUGGGAUAACCCCGGGAAACCGGAGCUAAUACCGAAUGAGCCUGUCGACCGCCUGGUCUACUGGGAAAAGCGGGGAUUUUCCUCGCGCUUUCAGAUGGGCCCGCGGCGCAAUAGCUUGUUGGAAAGGUAAAAGCUCCCCCAGGCAACGAUGCGUAACCGACCUGAGAGGGUGAUCGGCCACACUGGGACUGAAACACGGCCCAGACUCCUACGGGAGGCAGCAGUAGGGAAUCAUCCGCAAUGGGCGAAAGCCUGACGGUGCAACGCCCCGUGAGUGAAAAAGGUUUUUUUUUUUUUUAAAGCUCUGUUAUCCCAAAAGAACAAGGAUUGGUCGAACAGGCCGGUCCCCUGGCGGUACCGGAUCAGAAAAGCCCCGGCCUAAUCUCCGUGCCAAGCAGCCCGCGGUUAAUACGUAGGGGGGCAAAGGCGUUUGUCGGGAAAUUAUUGGGCGUAAAAGGGCGCGGCAGGCGGGUUCCCUAAAGUCUGAUGUGAAAAGGCCACCGGCUCAACCGGUGGAAAGGGCAUUGAAAACCUGGGGAACUUGAGUACAGGAGAGGAAAAGCGGAAUUCCACGUGUAGCGGGUGAAAAUGCGUAGAGAUGUGGAGGAAACACCAGUGGCGAAGGCGGCUUUUCUGGGCCUGUAACUGACGCUGAGGGCGCGAAAGCGUGGGGAGCGAACAGGGAUUAGAUACCCUGGUAGUCCACGCCGUAAACGUUGAGUGCUAGGUGUUAGGGGUUUCGACGCCCUUAGUGCCGAAGCAAACGCAUUAAGCACUCCGCCUGGGGAGUACGACCGCAAGGUUGAAACUCAAAGGAAUUGACGGGGGCCCGCACAAGCGGUGGAGCAUGUGGUUUAAUUCGACGCAACGCGAAGAACCUUACCAGGUCUUGACAUCUUCUGACCGCUCCAGAGAUGGAGUUUUCCCCUUCGGGGGACAGAAUGACAGGUGGUGCAUGGUUGUCGUCAGCUCGUGUCGUGAGAUGUUGGGUUAAGUCCCGCAACGAGCGCAACCCUUAACCUUAGUUGCCAGCAUUAAGUUGGGCACUCUAGGGUGACUGCCGGUGACAAACCGGAGGAAGGCGGGGAUGACGUCAAAUCAUCAUGCCCCUUAUGACCUGGGCUACACACGUGCUACAAUGGAUGGUACAGAGGGCAGCGAAGCCGCGAGGUGGAGCGAAUCCCAAAAAGCCAUUCUCAGUUCGGAAUGCAGGCUGCAACUCGCCUGCAUGAAGCCGGAAUCGCUAGUAAUCGCGGAUCAGCAUGCCGCGGUGAUUUCGUUCCCGGGCCUGUACACACCGCCCGCACACGCCCUUCCCCCUUUCACACCCCGCACGCUGGUGUUUCCCGUGUUCCCCGUAACAAGCUAGCCGUAGAGAUGUUCGAGUAG